rnacentral:rRNA from 1 species
UACGGAGGGUGCAAGCGUUAUCCGGAUUUACUGGGUUUAAAGGGUGCGUAGGCGGACUGGAAAGUCAGCGGUGAAAUCUCCGAGCUUAACUUGGAAACUGCCGUUGAUACUAUUAGUCUUGAAUAUCGUUGAGGUAGGCGGAAUACAACAUGUAGCGGUGAAAUGCUUAGAUAUGUUGUAGAACACCGAUUGCGAAGGCAGCUUACUAAACGAUGAUUGACGCUGAGGCACGAAAGCGUGGGGAUCAAACAGG